rnacentral:rRNA from 1 species
GAUGAACGCUAGCUACAGGCUUAACACAUGCAAGUCGAGGGGCAGCAUAACGAAAGCUUGCUUUGUUGAUGGCGACCGGCGCACGGGUGAGUAACGUGUAUCCAACCUUCCCCAUAGUAGAGGAUAGCCCGGCGAAAGUCGGAUUAAUACUCUAUGUUGUAUUUUGAGGACAUCUGACGAAUACCAAAGAUUGAUCGCUAUGGGAUGGGGAUGCGUCUGAUUAGCUUGUUGGCGGGGUAACGGCCCACCUGGCCUACGAUCAGUAGGGGUUCUGCGAGGAAGGUCCCCCACACUGGUACUGAGACACGGACCAGACUCCUACGGGAGGCAGCAGUGAGGAAUAUUGGUCAAUGGGCGCGAGCCUGAACCAGCCAAGUAGCGUGCAGGAAGACUGCCCUAUGGGUUGUAAACUGCUUUUAUGCGGGGAUAAAGUGUGGCACGCGUGCCUUUUUGCAUGUACCGCAUGAAUAAGGACCGGCUAAUUCCGUGCCAGCAGCCGCCGUAAGAC